CGUCCUUAAAAUCCUAUCGCUCCGUUCCAUUUUCUUCUUAAAUGUGUAAAACUUUGCAAUUAAAUGAAAACAUGUGAUGCAAACGUGGGAACUAAUUUUAAGAUAACCUUUACCUGUAUUGAAGCACAAUUUUCCAUCAUUUUUGGCAACUUUGUCGGGAAAAUCUCCCUUAAAUGGCCCCGUUCACUUAAACAGACAUUUCAGUGUAUUAGUUUGGAAUUGCUUUGUUGUCGACAGCCAUCACAUCAGCUGUUGUGUGCACCACAUAAUCCAAAAACCGCAUUCAAGCCUAUGAAUCAAGAUUUUUCUCUAGAAAUUUUAAAUUUGAAGCAAUUUCAAAGUCAUAAUAUAGUUUUUCAGAUCAUUCAUAUCCUUAUGCCAAAAAAUUGAUUUGAAUGCAAAUUAGGAAUGUUGUGUUAUUAUCAUUGUUGCCAGUGCAGUGGCGUAACGAAGUGUCAUAGAAACUGCGCAAUCAGCAUUAUUAUUUUCAUUCAUGUGUAAAAAUAGCUUUUAUUUUUGUUUAUUUUAUUUACAAAAAUCUAUCCGAUUAUAUGUUACAGAUUAUGCAACAAUGGUAUAGGCGCGGGCAGAAUAAGCGUCACCUGAGUCUUAUUCACACACCCAUCACUCGUCUUCACUUCGAUAUCCUGAACAUUAUUUCCAAUAAACUCAUCAGUAACGACUUCUGUUUCCAAAUUGACAAAUUCGUUCUUAAAAAAUAGAGCUUCAGUAUUUUGGUAGGCCUUAUCCUCCAUAACUUCGGUAUAUUUUUCUUUUUGUUUUUCACUUUUCCUUCUUUUCUUAUCACAUUCAUGAGUCUUCCGGUGUGUCCUUAAAGUCCCACUUUGGUUGAACGCUUUGCCGCAAACAUUACAUCCAUAAGGCCGCUCUCCAGUAUG